CAGCAGGGAGAGCACGUGUGUUUUUAUGAGAAUUAUGCUGAGGGCUUCCGAGGCAAUCGGGCAGCAUCUGUCUUCAGCCGCUAAGCUGAGAAGGAGUCAGUCAGAGAGGCUUGGGCCAGAGUUCCAGGGGCUCUGGGAGUGGCUGCCAGGUCAUCAAGCAGGAACUGGGAAUUUCAGAAGCUGCCCUUCUUCAUGCCACCUCCUCCCUUCAGAGGCCAAGGGCUACCAAGCUGUCUCCCACACAUCUCAGUGAAAAGUCCCUGGCUGUCCUCCCAGCCACCUCGCUGUGACCUUGUGAGGUGUGAGAAGGAGGAAGGGGAUCUACGUUCUGGAUGAACCUUCCUUCCUCCUUGCAGAGAAAUAGUUUAGGCCCCUGCGCCUGCUGGGCCUCAGACCUUCUCAGAGCCCAGGGCCCACUGUGGCUCCUGCAAGCUGCCUGGGAAUUCCACGGAGGCUGACUGGCUGCCUGUCUUAUUCCGAGUCUGCUGCAACCCAUUUCCUAAGCUUGGGUGGCUGAAAACGACAGAAAUUCAUCCUCUCACAGUUCUGGAGGCCAGAGUCUGAAUGCAGUUGUUGGCAGGGCUGUGCUGCCUUUGAAGGUUCUAGGGAAGAAUCCUUCCUGGCCUUUUCCAGUUUUGGGUGGUGGCUGGCAAUGCGCAGCAUCCCUUGGCUUCAGGUGCAUCAUUCCAGCUGCACGCAGCUGUCUUCCCUCUGUGUCUCUUCUUUUCUUCUUAUAAGGAUUCCAGUCAUAGGGUGUUAAGGGCCCACCUUACUCCAGUAUGUCGCCAAGUUAAUUCGUUACAUCUGCAACCACGCUAUUUCCAAAUGUCACAUUCUGAGGUUCCUGAUUGAAGGGGUGGGUUGCCACUCCACACCUGUGGGCAUUUUUCGUCAGGUGGAACGAGAGACUUGGAAAAGAAAGAGACACAGAGACAAAGUAUACAGAAAGAAAAUAGGGCCCAGGGGACCACCGUUCAGCAUACGGAGGACCUGUGCCAGCACCAGCCUCUGAGUUCCCUUAGUAUUUCUUGAUCAUUAUCGGAUGUUUCCCAGAGAGGGGGACUUGGCAGGACAAUAGGGUAAUAGUGGAGAGAAGGUCAGUAGGAAAACACGUGAACAAAGGACUCUGCAUCAUA